rnacentral:rRNA from 1 species
UGAGGAAUAUUGCGCAAUGGGGGAAACCCUGACGCAGCGACGCCGCGUGGAGGACGAAGGCCUUCGGGUCGUAAACUCCUGUCAAGGGGGACGAAAGUCGUGGGGAUGAAUAAGCGCUGCGAUUGACGGUACCUCUGAAGGAAGCCCCGGCUAACUCCGUGCCAGCAGCCGCGGUAAUACGGAGGGGGCUAGCGUUGUUCGGAAUUAUUGGGCGUAAAGGGCGCGCAGGCGGCUAGGCAAGUCGGAGGUGAAAUCCCUCGGCUCAACCGAGGAACUGCCCCCGAUACUGCCUGACUUGAGUCCCGGAGAGGGUAGCGGAAUUCCCAGUGUAGCGGUGAAAUGCGUAGAUAUUGGGAGGAACACCAGUGGCGAAGGCGGCUACCUGGACGGGUACUGACGCUGAGGCGCGAAAGCGUGGGGAGCAAACAGGAUUAGAUACCCCCGUAGUCC